CUCAUUUCCGGGUGGACCUGGAAAGGUCAGAGGGAGAGAUCUGUUGCAAGCCAGGCAGCGAGGUAGGUUGGCAGCACAUUAUGGGCCUUAAAACCAUUUGGAAGAACUACAGACUUCUGAUUGUUAUGGGAACUGGCCUUGCGCUGGUACACUGGGGUUGGUAUAACGUCCAGUCCAGUCCUGUUUUUCAACCCAAGAGAGAUGAUUUUGUCCCAGAGCCUGGUAUCGUGACGUACGUGCUGGAACAAGAGAGACGGGCAAAGGGAAAGUAGCUGUACCCUGCUGCGGAGUCACAGAAAGGUCUAUUUGCGGCAACCUUUUUCUUUUUACGUCUCUGUGAACAAAGAUGAAGAAGAUCAGCUGGAUCAGAAAGAACUGGCUCCUGGUGGCCGGGGUGGCCUUUGUCAGCGUCCAUCUCGGUACCUACCUUCUCCAGAGGGCCGCCAAGAACUCCGCGAAAUCAGGCCUGGAGAUUAAACAAAAGGAUCUUGACAAGUGAAGCUUUGCCCUCCGCCGUGUCACGUUUCGCACUCGCCUCGUCACUCGCUUAGCUA